rnacentral:miRNA from 1 species
AGAUGGCUGAUUAAAAUUGAAUUUCAGAUAAAUAGUGAGUAAAUUCUUAGUACAUACAUGUCCCAUGAAAUAUUUGGGACAUACUUAUACUAAAGAAUUAUUCCUUGCUUAUCUGAAAUUCAAAUUUGGCUGAGUGUCCUAU